UACGUAGGGGGCUAGCGUUGUCCGGAUUUAUUGGGCGCAAAGAGCGUGUAGGCGGCCAGGUAGGUCUGCUGUGAAAACUCGAGGCUCAACCUCGAGACGCCGAUGGAAACCAUCUGGCUAGAGUCCGGAAGAGGAGAGUGGAAUUCCCGGUGUAGCGGUGAAAUGCGCAGAUAUCGGGAAGAACACCCGUGGCUAAGGCGGCUCUCUAGUACGGUACUGACGCUGAGACGCGAAAGCGUGGGGAGCGAACAGG
rnacentral:rRNA from 1 species